rnacentral:rRNA from 1 species
CCUACGGGUGGCAGCAGUGGGGAAUAUUGGGCAAUGGGCGCAAGCCUGACCCAGCAACGCCGCGUGAAGGAAGAAGGCUUUCGGGUUGUAAACUUCUGUGCUGAGGGACGAAGAAAGUGACGGUACCUCAGGAAUAAGCCACGGCUAACUACGUGCCAGCAGCCGCGGUAAUACGUAGGUGGCAAGCGUUAUCCGGAUUUAUUGGGUGUAAAGGGCGUGUAGGCGGGAAAGCAAGUCAGCUGUGAAAACUCAUGGCUCAACCCUGGCCCUGCAUUCGAAACUGUUUUUCUUGAGUGCUGGAGGGGCAAGCGGAAUUCCGUGUGUAGCGGUGAAAUGCGUAGAUAUAAGGAGGAACACCAGUGGCGAAGGCAACAUACCGG